rnacentral:misc_RNA from 1 species
AAGUCGUAACAAGGUAACCGUAGGUGAACCUGCGGUUGGAUCAUUAGCGGGCCGAGAUUUGCGUUUUUGUUGUGUCUUGUCUAGUGUCGUCGUGUCACGUCGACACCAGAUCAAUCGGAACCCUUUGCUUAGACUUGAUUUUGUAAAAAAAACAACUUUUGACAACGGAUCUCUUGGCUCUC